CACUCCUGCGGGAGGCAGCAGUGAGGAAUAUUGGACAAUGGGUGGAAGCCUGAUCCAGCCAUCCCGCGUGCAGGAAGACGGCCCUAUGGGUUGUAAACUGCUUUUAUCUGGGGAUAAACCUACUUACGUGUAAGUAGCUGAAGGUACCAGAAGAAUAAGCACCGGCUAACUCCGUGCCAGCAGCCGCGGUAAUACGGAGGGUGCAAGCGUUAUCCGGAUUUAUUGGGUUUAAAGGGUCCGUAGGCGGACUGAUAAGUCAGUGGUGAAAUCCGACAGCUUAACUGUCGAACUGCCAUUGAUACUGUUAGUCUUGAGUAAGGUUGAAGUGGCUGGAAUAAGUAGUGUAGCGGUGAAAUGCAGAGAUAUUACUUAGAACACCAAUUGCGAAGGCAGGUCACUAAGUCUUAACUGACGCUGAUGGACGAAAGCGUGGGGAGCGAACAGGAUUAGAAACCCUAGUAGGCCC
rnacentral:rRNA from 1 species